GAGAACGCUGGCGGCGUGCCUACACAUGCAAGUCGAGCGAACAGAGAAGGAGCUUGCUCCUUUGACGUUAGCGGCGGACGGGUGAGUAACACGUGGGCAACCUACCCUAUAGUUUGGGAUAACUCCGGGAAACCGGGGCUAAUACCGAAUAAUUUAUUUCAUCUCAUGGUGAAAUACUGAAAGACGGUUUCGGCUGUCGCUAUAGGAUGGGCCCGCGGCGCAUUAGCUAGUUGGUGAGGUAACGGCUCACCAAGGCGACGAUGCGUAGCCGACCUGAGAGGGUGAUCGGCCACACUGGGACUGAAACACGGCCCAGACUCCUACGGGAGGCAGCAGUAGGGAAUCUUCCACAAUGGGCGAAAGCCUGAUGGAGCAACGCCGCGUGAGUGAAGAAGGAUUUCGGUUCGUAAAACUCUGUUGUAAGGGAUGAACAAGUACAGUAUAACUGGCUGUACCUUGACGGUACCUUAUUAGAAAGCCACGGCUAACUACGUGCCCCGCCGCGGUA
rnacentral:rRNA from 1 species